AACGAACGCUGGCGGCAUGCCUAACACAUGCGAGUCGAACGAAGCCUUCGGGCUUAGUGGCGCACGGGUGCGUAACGCGUGGGAAUCUGCCCCUCGGUUCGGAAUAACAGUUAGAAAUGACUGCUAAUACCGGAUGAUGACGAAAGUCCAAAGAUUUAUCGCCGAGGGAUGAGCCCGCGUAGGAUUAGCUUGUUGGUGGGGUAAUGGCCCACCAAGGCGACGAUCCUUAGCUGGUCUGAGAGGAUGAUCAGCCACACUGGGACUGAGACACGGCCCAGACUCCUACGGGAGGCAGCAGUGGGGAAUAUUGGACAAUGGGCGAAAGCCUGAUCCAGCAAUGCCGCGUGAGUGAUGAAGGCCUUAGGGUUGUAAAGCUCUUUUACCAGGGAUGAUAAUGACAGUACCUGGAGAAUAAGACUCCGGCUAACUCCGUGCCAGCAGCCGCGGUAU
rnacentral:rRNA from 1 species